UCUUUCUUAUAUACCAAACGGUACAUGCCGAAGUACUAUCGAGAAACACGCUGUAACUGAUUUGCCACUUAGCGGCGGCAAUGCGCAUUACAUUUAAAUAACACGCACGGUAUUGUACACCUCUUACUCCAUAACCUUCAAAUCGUCCGAAUAAUAAUGGAAGUAUGGGUGUCGAGACAAUAGUGUAAUUUAAAGCGCGCAAAGUGACAUAUUGUUCAGAAACUAUGCGACUAAGAGGAUGGAGAUACAGUGUGUUUGUGGGAGGUAUAAUUGGCACCAUAGGAACAUGCUGUUACUUUUCUAUGAUACAACCCCUGAUCAAUCCUGAACCAUACAAGAGAAUUAGAGAACGAGCUUUCUCCUCAGGCAAGUCCAUGUGAGACUACUUCAAAGACUUGUAUUUGAUUCCUCUGACUGAAUGUAUCUUGUGUUGUGUUUGGAUUUUCUAUAUGUUCAUGUAUUCGAUGACAAUGGACAUAUGGGAAAUGUAUACUGAAGGC